rnacentral:lncRNA from 1 species
GACACUUCCCUCCUCCUUCUGGGGACACAGGGACACUUCUCUCCUGUGCUGGGACACCUCCCUUCUCUUUUGGGUACAAAGGGACACCUCCCUCCUGUGUUGGGGACAAGGAGACACUCCCCUCCUGCUUCUGGGGACAAGGGGACACCUCCCUCCUGUGCUGGGAACACCUCCCUCCUGCUGCUGGGGACACAGGGACAAUUCUCUCCUGCAGUUUGGGGACAAAGGGACACUUCCCUCCAGUGCUGGGGACAUAGGGACACUUCCCUCCUGUGCUGGGGACAAGGGGAUGUUGUAUUGCCCUAAGGGGACACCUCCUUCCAGUGCUGGGGACACUUCCCUCCUGCUGCUGGAGACAAGGAGACAUUUCCCUCCUGUUCUGGGGACAAGGGGACACUUCCCUCCUGCUGCUGGGGCUCUCCCGUCACACUGAUGGCCAGCCAGUGUCUGUGACACCGCAGGGGACUCAGGGACCACAGCAUGGGAGAAUCCCAUCUCCAAAUGCCCCACUGCUGCCCGGCAUGCUGGUGUGCUGCUGGAUCUGUGCCUGAAGGGUAGAUGCCUGGAAGAACCAGGAACCCUUCCCUUUCUCCCUUUCCUGGAGGUCAGACACCUGGAGAACCCAGGACUCCAUCCCUGUCUCCCGUUCCUGGGGUGCAGAUGCCUGGAGAACCCAGGACUCCAUCCCUGUCUCCCUUUCCUGGAGGUGAGAUGCCUGAAAGAGCCAGGACCCUUCCCUUUCCUGGGGUGCAGAGGCCCCAGUUUGCUCCUGCCUCUGGGUCCCUCACACCACGUGCUGAACUGGGGGUUCAGGGGUUAAAGAGCCAUUUGCAAUCAGUUUCCAAGGAUUUGAAAGAUGCCUGAAAGGAGAGGUGGUGUUUAUAAAAGGAAUGCGGUAAUGAUCCUGACCAAAUAAUCCUUUUUUAAAAAAGCAUUCAAGAAAGAUUAUAUAUAAUAGAAUAUAUUAAAUUCUGUACAUGAUCAAAUAAUGUAAACAUAAUUAAUUAACUUGUAAGGAUGUCUUUAGAGACUGUGCCUACCGUAUGCCCUGGGUGAAGGUGGCAGUGGCACACGGGGCUCCUCUGUCACAGCCUUGUGGGUCAGGAGAGGAGCAGGAGGUGCCACCAAUGGGUCCCCUGCCCUGACACUGUCCCUAAGGCUGGCUGAGACCCAGCUCUGGGGCA